AUGACAGAGAAGCAGCUGGGUGUAUGCAUCUGGGCCCGGAGACACAAGUGUGGGAGCUCUCAGCCCAGAGACAGGGAGGGAAGCCGUGACAGUAGGCACCUGUAUGUGGAGGUGGGGGAGACCAGGCCCAGGGCCCCAGGAACUGAAGCAUUUGGAGGUCAGCGAGAGGAGAAGCAACCUGCAAACACAUCAACCUGGCCGGGGGAAGAUGACAUCCUGCCUGGGAUCAAUCAGGCCCGCGCUGCCCAGGCUGCCGACGUGCGCUCUGAGGACCCCCAGGCACCAGGGGCCUGUCACUGGCUGAUGGAUGAAGGCCGCUCCCACCCACGCACCCACCUUCCUUCUGCGCCAGCUUCCUGCCAUCACCAGCCUGUUGAGGAGCAGACUGUGAAGGGGCACAUCAGCCCAGAAGGAGAAAGCAUGCUGAGUGGCCGUGUGGGAUCGGGCGGACGUCUGCGGGCAUUUUGCAGAGUGAAAGGAAAAUUUAGGAGAGAUUGCAUGGAGUCCUAACGAGGCGGGAGAUGCCACCACGUUGAAGGAAGCAAGAAGAUGAUGAGGAGAAGGAGCAGGGCUGGGAAACGGAAGGACAGGUGCCCUUGCGUCCAGCCGAGAAGAACACCCACCUGCAAGGGGGAGCUGGACUUGUGAAGACAGCAUGGCUCACCUUUAGUACAUUCUCUGCCGUUUCAUGAGGUUUGUUUUUUCUUUUUUUCUUGGAGGCUCACCACCUGGCCCUGGGUCGCUGGCAGAAGCAGGAUAGGGAAUGUUUUUCACUUAUAAAUAGUGUAGGAAAAAUCGAGGUGAAUUAUCUGGCUGCUGCGUGAGUGCUUUAUUGAUUAGAGAGAGCCAAUCAAAUUAGCUGUCAGAGGAGAAUGCAGAUGGCACCAUGUGGAAUGGAUUUUCUAUAUCCCCUAAUUGCAUUAUUUCAAUCAGUGGGUGAACAUUGCAUGGCCUGCGGUGGGAUUUGGCGGGGCUUGGGGGUGGGAAAUGGGGG
rnacentral:lncRNA from 1 species